AUUGAACGCUGGCGGCAUGCCUUACACAUGCAAGUCGAACGGCAGCACGGGUGCUUGCACCUGGUGGCGAGUGGCGAACGGGUGAGUAAUACAUCGGAACGUACCUUAUCGUGGGGGAUAACGCAGCGAAAGCUGUGCUAAUACCGCAUACGCCCUGAGGGGGAAAGCGGGGGGUCGCAAGACCUCGCGCGAUUAGAGCGGCCGAUGCCUGAUUAGCUUGUUGGUGGGGUAAAAGCCCACCAAGGCGACGAUCAGUAGCUGGUCUGAGAGGACGAUCAGCCACACUGGGACUGAGACACGGCCCAAACUCCUACGGGAGGCAGCAGUGGGGAAUUUUGAACAAUGGGGGCAACCCUGAUCCAGCAAUGCCGCGUGAGUGAAGAAGGCCUUCGGGUUGUAAAGCUCUUUUGUCAGGGAAGAAACACCGGCUCUAACACAGUCCGGGAAUGACGGUACCUGAAGAAUAAGCACCGGCUAACUACGUGCCAGCAGCCGCCGUAA
rnacentral:rRNA from 1 species